GAACGAACGCUGGCGGCAUGCCUAACACAUGCAAGUCGAACGAGACCUUCGGGUCUAGUGGCGCACGGGUGCGUAACGCGUGGGAACCUGCCCUUAGGUUCGGAAUAACUCCCCGAAAGGGGUGCUAAUACCGGAUAAUGUCUUCGGACCAAAGAUUUAUCGCCUUUGGAUGGGCCCGCGUUGGAUUAGCUAGUUGGUAGGGUAAAAGCCUACCAAGGCGACGAUCCAUAGCUGGUCUGAGAGGAUGAUCAGCCACACUGGGACUGAGACACGGCCCAGACUCCUACGGGAGGCAGCAGUGGGGAAUAUUGGACAAUGGGCGAAAGCCUGAUCCAGCAAUGCCGCGUGAGUGAUGAAGGCCUUAGGGUUGUAAAGCUCUUUUAUCCGGGAUGAUAAUGACAGUACCGGGAGAAUAAGCUCCGGCUAACUCCGUG
rnacentral:rRNA from 1 species